UUUUAUUGAUGAAGGAUGGAUCAGAAACUGUAAAAAAUAGCAUUGGCAGCAGAGAGAAAAGACAUUUCCAUAUGAGUAUCAAAUCACAUACUCGGUGGACAUUAGGAACAGAUGACUGCAAGGACAAUGUGGUCAGCAAUCAAGUCUACAUACUUCAGACAGCUACAUAGUGAUGUGGUGGUGCUGCAGCUGUAUGCUGACCCAGAGGCCAAAAAGGAAAGCAGUGUUACUACAGUCAGUGAUGUCUUGAACUUUGCAUACAACUUAACACUAAGCAGAUUUCAGAAUUGUAUUGGCAGUGUUUAUUCAUUAUGGGUUGCAGAUGGAUAUGGGACCUUUAAAUUCAGUUUUAAACAGCAGUGUACUACUUUCAGCCAUCAUGUCAAUGCAAGUAAUUUGAAGAUAUAUUUAAGGAGAGAGACAUCGAUAAGUGUCAAAUGAUUUAUUCCAUUACUUGUCAAGUACAUUUUAUAUGCAAUCUGACAGUAAAAUUUUGCAUUUGUACAAACUGUCAGGUCUGGUUGACCAAUUUGAAAACAGGUUUCAGUUGGCACAAUUAAUGCUAGAGACGUUGAAAUAGUCAGAUUUUAUUUCAUUGCUGGCUACUAGACAUUUACUUUAUACAGUUCAUAAAUUGUCAGAUGACUUUAUUGCAUUGCUCUCCCAUUACAUGUACAGUUCUAUAUGCAUGUUUGACACUUGUAUAAACUACCAGGUGCACUUGAAUUGUCACUUCAUGUGAAAGACAUUGGAAAUUGUCAUUUAAUUAUUCCUUUGCUGGCUACCAGAUGAACAUUUCCAACUGCAGUCUUCAACAAUAAAAAGUGUUUCACUUGUA